UACAGAGGUCUCAAGCGUUGUUCGGAAUCAUUGGGCGUAAAGAGCGUGUAGGCGGCUCGGUAAGUCCGCUGUAAAAGUCCAGGGCUCAACCCUGGAAAGCCGGUGGAAACUGUCGAGCUAGAGUCCGGAAGAGGCGAGUGGAAUUCCUGGUGUAGCGGUGAAAUGCGCAGAUAUCAGGAGGAACACCAAUGGCGAAGGCAGCUCGCUGGGACGGUACUGACGCUGAGACGCGAAAGCGUGGGGAGCAAACAGG
rnacentral:rRNA from 1 species